UUGUCGCCUUCUGCUGCGUCCUAGUGUGUUCUGUUUUCUAUAGGUUCUGCGUUCGGUGUGCACCUGUACAAUCAGUCAGGUUACAGCCCGAUCCUCAACUACGUUGUGAUUAUUCCGUCCCACAUGGAACCUGGCCAAACUGUGAGCGUCCCCUGGGCAUCUGUGUGCUAAUUAGCCACAGAGAGCGGGGCGACUCCAGGGCAGGCGGGGAUUGUUCCUGGAGGUCUAUUUGGAGGAGGUGCGUCUUAGGCUCGGAUGAAGCAGAGAGCUAGGAGAGCGUCAGCGGACAGGUCUCACAUAUUUAUCACUGACCAGCUUGUUAGUGAAGAGCAUGUAAACAAAGAGAAAACUCAUUUUCCCAAUGAAACGUGGUCAACUGUCCACCUGAUGACAUUUUUCAGCUUGAUAUGAUGCACUUGGACAACCUGCGUGCCAACCAGGAUGCAGACCAGGUCUUAAAAACCUGACCCCUAAAGCACUCAGGGUUACUCUCAGAAACCCCAUUGGAACACUGAGGCAGUCACCGGCUGGCUCUUCAAUAACGGAUUCGUCUGUUAAUUCGGCUAGCGUGAUGGCGUGGUCUUUGGGAAUUUCUGGACACACCACCACCCAAAAGAAGGUGGGAACAGCAGGUUGCUCUCUGGAGGACACAGCAACAAGAUGCUAUCUUGAAACAAAUGACUGAACCUGCUGGCAUCUUGAUCUUGAACUUUUCAGCUUCUAGAACUUUAAGAAAUAAAUUUCUGGUCUAAACUGGUGUAAAUUA